GCAGCUGCUAUAACUAUUUUGUCGGACUAAAGCAUAUCUAUAUUAUAUAUUCAUUGUCUAUAUGUACUCAUAUGGAGUCCAACAAAAUUAGACUUUCUAUUCUAUGAUUUUUCAAAGAUUCAGCCAAAUAAAUAAAAAAAUAAAAAAAGGCAAAAUCUUUAUAGCAAAAACUUUAUACUAAAGCAUAUCAUAUUAUAUAUUUACUGUAGAUCUACUUAUAUAGAGUAAAAAAUAGAUUUUUUAUUUUAUGAUUUUUCUGUGAUUUACUAUGACUUUUCAAAGAUUCAGCCAAAAUAAUUAUAAAAGAAAAAGACAAAACCACCGCCACGAUAGUGAAGCGCCCCUGGUAAACCAGGAACUCAAAUGUGAUACAAUACUAGUCCCAGGAGGCUAGUAACACAUUUAUUACAUCAGAUAAGUUUCAGCGCAGUAGUCUUGGAAAGCGUGGACAAGGAAGGCACGCUAUAAUAAUAAGACACCAAAAUACAACAUAGGUCCAAAGGACCCAGAAACAAACGAUAUCGCCAUCGAACAUCUGACGAGUCCCAAUGCCACAGGCUUAGUUGGGUGCAGACACGACCUUACUCGAACGCCACUUCAGGAUCAAAGUCUGGAUCUUCCUCUGUUUAAUAAAGCAAGGGUGAGUACAAAGUACUCAGCAAAUCCAACCUUACCCUACGGAAGGGGAUAACAGUAUAUAUGCAUAUG
rnacentral:lncRNA from 1 species